CGGGGUAUAGCUCAGUGGUAGAGCGCAUGCUCGGUGUGCAGGAGGUCCUGGGUUCCCCAGUGCCUCUG
rnacentral:tRNA from 1 species